rnacentral:misc_RNA from 1 species
GAAAACUAUGAGUAAAGGGUUUAUGUGAUUCAUAUGAGAUGAUGAUGAAGAAGAAUGACCAUUAUUAUUAUUGUUCUUGGGAAGUUGAUCAUGAUCUUGGGUAUAGGUAUUUUGGAUAUUAUCUCCCAUUUGAGUCACCAUUUUUAUGAUGGGACUUUUUGUAUUUGAUGUUGCUUCAAUAAAAUCCUUCAUCUCAAUUUGCUUGCUCUUCUCAUCACUUUCACCCAUGGAAGGUUUAAUUCUUCCUUCAACAAACAUAAGAAGAGAGAGAAGAAUUAGGAAGAUGAAGCAAGAAGCCAGUUUGUUGCCCUCCA